GAGCACGCCGCGUGAGGGAUGAAGGCCUCUGGGCUGUAAACCUCUUUUCUCAAGGAAGAAGACCUGACGGUACUUGAGGAAUAAGCCACGGCUAACUCCGUGCCAGCAGCCGCGGUAAUACGGGAGUGGCAAGCGUUAUCCGGAAUUAUUGGGCGUAAAGCGUCCGCAGGCGGCCCUGUAAGUCUGUCGUUAAAGCGUGGAGCUCAACUCCAUUUCAGCGAUGGAAACUACAGGGCUUGAGUGUGGUAGGGGCAGAGGGAAUUCCCGGUGUAGCGGUGAAAUGCGUAGAUAUCGGGAAGAACACCAGUGGCGAAGGCGCUCUGCUGGGCCAUAACUGACGCUCAUGGACGAAAGCCAGGGGAGCGAAAGGGAUUAGAUACCCCUGUAGUCCUGGCCGUAAACGAUGAACACUAGGUGUCGGGGGAAUCGACCCCCUCGGUGUCGUAGCCAACGCGUUAAGUGUUCCGCCUGGGGAGUACGCACGCAAGUGUGAAACUCAAAGGAAUUGACGGGGGCCCGCACAAGCGGUGGAGUAUGUGGUUUAAUUCGAUGCAACGCGAAGAACCUUACCAGGGUUUGACAUCCUGCGAACCCCCUGGAAACGGGGGGGUGCCUUCGGGAACGCAGUGACAGGUGGUGCAUGGCUGUCGUCAGCUCGUGUCGUGAGAUGUUGGGUUAAGUCCCGCAACGAGCGCAACCCACGUCGUUAGUUGCCAGCAUUCAGUUGGGCACUCUAGCGAGACCGCCGGUGAUAAACCGGAGGAAGGUGUGGAUGACGUCAAGUCAUCAUGCCCCUUACAUCCUGGGCUACACACGUACUACAAUGCUACGGACAAAGGGCCGCAAGCUCGCGAGAGUUAGCAAAUCCCAUAAACCGUGGCUCAGUUCAGAUCGUAGGCUGCAACUCGCCUACGUGAAGGAGGAAUCGCUAGUAAUCGCAGGUCAGCAUACUGCGGUGAAUACGUUCCCGGGCCUUGUACACACCGCCCGUCACACCAUGGAAGUUGGCCACGCCCGAAGUCGUUACUCCAACCCUUGUGGAGGAGGACGCCGAAGGUGGGGCUGAUGACUGGGGUGAAGUCGUAACAAGGUAGCCGUACCGGAAGGUG
rnacentral:rRNA from 1 species